CUACAAUUAAAUAUUCCAGCAUAAAUAUAAAAGAAAAUCAGAGAUGGGGAAGAUUGAGUCAGGAGAGAUUGGAGAGGUAGAUCCUCUGCCCGAUAGUGGCAACAGCCGGGCUCUAAUUAGAUAUGCCAAGCAGGCUGUGAGCAGUCACUCUCCACAGCACGCGCAGAGAGGAGGCAGCCUGAGACGAGGACAGAGGGAACCUAUCUGCUCAUCUGUCUGCCCAGCGCCUUCCUUUGGGCAUCCACCAGAUGGAAGUGAUGCUUGACGGACUCACGUUUGAUGGAGGCUGCUCGGACCUCUGGCACUGGACCAGUUUCAGAGUGACUUCAUAAGAACCUCUUCUUUCUGCUAGUAGGCGUGGUGCUGCUGACAUCAUACGCUUAAACCCUACAUCUCUUUUGAUGUACAUGACUUUUUGACACUGCCUCCUGUCACAUGUAUCUUUAAGUCAAUUUUAUCCGUUUUUUCUCUUUUUCUAACUUCAUGUAAUGAAUCUGAGCAAAAUUAGAUUAAGUUCUGUUAUGUUUGAAUAUGCAUUUAACAUAUUUUUUAAGCAUCUUUAUACAGUUGUCGUACAUGGCUGCUGGUUUGCCUGUUGUUCUUUACGUAAAAGACACAUUAGUCAAAAAUUGUAAUUUUUUUAGAAUGUGGUAUUGAUUGGAAUGUGGUAUUAAAAUGUUGGCGAGAAAGGGCUGAGCUCGUAUUGUACUGUUAAUUGCAUAUUAAGUGUGUUGCUUUCUUUUCAUUUGUAAAACUAAGAACAUGUUUAUUAUUUGACCAUAAAGUGACAAACUGUAAAAAUCACCUCUGCUGCUAAAAUCAUUGUUAAGUAACAAAAACUAAUAUAAACGUAGUUAGUUUUGCUUCUUGUGCUUUUUAAAAAUACAAAGUACUACACCCAAAUUUAUUAGAUCUUACUGGCUUCAGUUUGGCUACAUAGUACCGGUAGUUGUAGCAUAAGCUCAGGGUAGACUGUUGGGGCUCAUCUUUACUCUUGAGUCCCGGGUUCUGGUCCGAAGCAGCCGGGGAGUCGGGCCGCUGUUGUGGGUCCAGAGGUGUUUUGAGCAUCUUUUUCUCCUCAUACAGUUAACCACUGAUCCCAGAAUGAUUAUUAUUAAUGGUUAUGUUAUUGCAUCCUACAUGUCAUGAUAACAGGCAACAUCACACAGGACGGUGGAUUCCAUGAAGGUUAUGGUCUUAUAGAUGCAGACUGACAAACGGCUGAAAGAAAGUUCAGUAAAAACUCUUAUUGUACCAUAUUGAACAGUAGUAGUUCACUACACGUUUCUGUUCUGGGGCAGUUCGCUCUUGUUUCCUCAGGUGAUUCUGGUGAGGCCGUUAGGUGCCCCAGGUCAGAUUGUCCAGUAACUGCCCCACGUCCAGUGUUCAGGAGGUGAUGGAUGAGCUGUCCAGACAUGGGGACUGUCGUCCUUUCAAUCUUUUGUGUUAAGGACCAGAUUGUGAUUGAUACAUCAUGCAGCCAGUUGCUCAACCUGCUUCCUGUUUGUGCACAAUAAAAGCAAAUACAGCUGCA
rnacentral:lncRNA from 1 species